GUCCUGCGAGCUUAGGGGUGCUACAAGUUGACCACUGCAGCAGUAAAGAUGACUCUGAAGAAUGGCAUGGGAUGGAUCCUUUCGAAUGCACUUGAGCAGCGGUCUCCAACCACAGGGCCACAGAGCUGGAGCUGGAUCUACCAUGAAAGACUUCUGAAUCCAGGAAGAGAGACUGACUGGGCAACAUGUUAUUCAGGGUCUCCCUCUGUUGUCCAAGGCUGGAGUGUAGUAGUGCUAUCGCAGCUGACUGCAGCCUCAACCUUCCAGGCUGAAGCGAUCCUCCCACCUCAACCUCCCACGUGGCUG